rnacentral:lncRNA from 1 species
AGAUAUUUCCUUUUCUAUCUCUUCUCUAUCAUUUUUAGGGUUUCUUUUCAUUUUGAUUUCUCUGAUUGACUCCGAUAAUAGAGUCUAGCAUGAUAUCAGAGCGGUUUAAUAGAUCGGCCUCACUUGGAGCUUUCGUCCGAUGGUAAUUAAGCUUGGUUUGACGGUUUCGCUCAGAUCGAAGAAUCUUCUGUCAGAAUCUUCUAAAAAAUUUCUAAGUUCUUUGCCUCCUUUCCGAUAUUAGAAGACCUUAGC